rnacentral:lncRNA from 1 species
CUAAGAUCAAGACAUUUAUUCAGAAAGAUUCACUCUUCCGAAGUAUUAUUGCAUUAGAGGCAUGCGCUAUGCAAAAAUAAAGAUAUUUCGAGGAAAUAAAAAGGAGCAAGUGCUCGACAACCUCACAGAAAAAAAUGGACAAGUGUCCGGUAGUAGAAUUAGGGAUACCUCGGUUUCCACUUAAAAAAAGAAGAGAAGAAAAAUGAUAGCCCAU